rfam:Clostridiales sp. SS3/4 draft genome.
UGAGUAAGACAGAUGGUCGCUGCUGCAAUCCUAAGGGAUGCAGGAGAGGAAAGUCCGGGCUUCAAAGGGCAGGGUGCCGGAUAACGUCCGGCGAAGGCGACUUCAGAGACAGUGCAACAGAAAUAAACCGCAUGGAAACAUGUAAGGGUGGAAAGGCAGUGUAAGAGACUACCGCCUCACUGGUAACAGGGAGGGCACAUGCAAACCUCACUCGAAGCAAGGCCAAACAGGAAGCAUAAGGCGGCCCGUCUGCUUCCGGGUAGGCCGCUUGAGCCGUCCGGUGACGGACGGUCUAGAUAGAUGACCAUCCAACGACAUAACCCGGCUUAUCGUCUUGCUCAGAAU